UUAAUACCUCUUAUAAGCUCCCAUCAAGCACAACAGCAAGCAGGAAACUUUAAUUCGAACAAUAUCCCAUCAUAAUAGGCGAGGGGUUCACAACAUCAAGACAAAUAAUGAUAAUAGGGCCGGUGGAAAUAGAGAUUUAGCCGCAGAAAGAUGCCAGAACCAUGAAAAUUUUCAUAUCUAGAAUUUUUAGGAGGGGGAUAACCCCCAAAAAAACUGGUUUCUAAUAGGAAAGCGUUUUUCUCUCUCCCACACUCAAUUUGAGAACUCGAACAUAAUUUCAUUUCAGAUUAUUUUCUUCCCCGAUUUUUUUUUCUUCUUUUCGCUCUGCAGUUCAACACAGAAGGGGCGAUCACUCUUUUGUAUCAAUUACUCUGAAGAUUACAUCAUCGAAAGCUAUCUGAAUGAUAAGUAUAUUCUUGUCAUUUUAAUUUGAUCGCAACUCUUGAUUUCUCGAUUUCGGAAUCUAAUUUCAGAAAAAAAUACGCUCCAAAAAAACCUAAAUCGUGUUAUUUCAAUUCGAAUUUCUUUCUCAUUGAUAAUCAGAUCUCGGAUCUGCAACAAUCUAAUCAUUAUCAUCGUUUUGGAUUAAAAACUUCGGAUUCAACUAAUUUUUUGCAAUUUUUCCCAUUUAAUCUUUGCAAUUCUUAUUCUCGAUUUAAAAUCAAAUUUAAGAUUUGUAAUCAGCAUAUAUUAAUCUUCAUUACCCAUCAAACAAGAAGAAUUGUCGACCUAAUUAGAAAAAUUUGGUAUAACUCAAGUGAAAAUUAUGAUUAUUAAUGAUGAAUUGAUGGUUUCGUUUAUUAGGUUGUAAAUAUGGAUUAUCCGGGACCUGAACUGAUACAUUGUUGGUUACAUAGAAGCUACUCACCACUUCUCCGAGACCUGAUAAACCUUUUGACUUUUAUCAUUGCUGGUGCAGGUGGCUGCUCCGGCUUGGAUGGAUAAUGAUGGGCCUUGUUUGUUUCGCUGCUGCUUGCAGCUUCCAAAUAUAACUGUUACUUCAGAGGUCUGCAAAAGAAUAAAAGAUGAUGAGCGCAGCAAAGAUUUCUACUGAGAAGGACUAUAGGCGAGGACCACUCAUUUUGAUGGCUACCUUUGAUUGCCAGGAUCUGGGCAAUCUUAAGAAACAAUGAAAUGCUUACAUGGCCUGAGAAGAUACGAUUUACUAUUCGACUCUUGCUAGCAAUGGUUGGUGGUCAGGCUUAUGUGGAGGCUCAAGAUGGCUUCACGGUUAAAGAGUUGACGAGGAAACUGUUAUUUGCAAAAUACCGGUGAACCAGUACUUAGGAAACACACAGCCAUUUUCUGGGGUAGUAAGAGAACACAUCUUGAACCGAUUCCUUCAGAUUCAUGAAGACCUGAAUUCUGCAGAGCCGUCAUUGAGCUUAAUAUGAUGUUCUGGUUUCUUUAUGUUACACCAGAACUGAUAGCAACACAAGGGAUUAUGUCAAAGACGACAAAGCUGUAUUCAAGAGGUUUAUUGAAUCUAAUUGCCAUAGAUGAGGUCGAAAUUCUUUGUGGAUUUCUUUGUUAUUUCUGUGAUUAUGCAAAGAAAAUGCGCUUAAUUCUUUGUGAAUUUCUUGGUGAAGAUGUGGAGGCCAUGAAGAAGGAAGCUCGCAGUGUAAAAGUCUUCUUAGGGAGAUUUUUUCUUCUUUGCCUAUAGUUUCACUGAGUUCACAGUAAACCAUACCAGUAGCAUUGUUGUUUUUGUAUUCUGAUAAUCACUUAGGGUAGUAGCCCCUUUUUUUCUUUUUAAUUGAUGUCGUCUUCUUGGAUGUUGUUUGGACAAGGAAUUCAUAUGAGAUUGAACUUUUACACUAUAUGUCAAUCUAUUUUGAAGUUAAAAGUGUUCUCAA